rnacentral:rRNA from 1 species
AGGAUGAACGCUGGCGGCGUGCCUAACACAUGCAAGUCGAACGUCCUGUCUCGCAAGAGGCAGGGAGUGGCGGACGGGUGAGUACCACGUGGGUCAUCUACCGUGAGGUGAGGAAUACCGGCGAGAAAUCGCCGACAAGACCGCAUAGGCUCGAUGCAAGUCGAGCAAAGCUCUUUCGAGAGAGGGAGCGCCACACGAGGAGCCUGCGCCCGAUUAGCUAGCUGGUGGAGUAACGGUUCACCAGGGCGACGAUCGGUAGCUGGUCUGAGAGGACGAUCAGCCACACUGGGAUUGAGAACGGCCCAGACUCCUACGGGGGCAGCAGUGAGGAAUUUUCGUCAAUGGGGGCAACCCUGAACGAGCAACGCCGCGUGCAGGAAGAAGGUUUCGGAUCGUAAACUGCUUUUCUCGGGAAGAGAAUGGACGGUACCCGAGGAAUCAGCCCGGCUAACUACGUGCCAGCAGCCGCGGU